AUCAUACAAGCAACAAGUAAAUAAUCGGAAAAGUAUAAAAAGAGACCAUUUACUUUUAGCUCAAGAAGAUCGCAACCGCCCAUCAAACUUUAAACCGGGUGGUUGUAAGUGUGUUAUUAACGAGACUGAAAGUUUAAAAAAGAUUAUCAAACUUUAUAACUUACCCCAAACCAUCGAAUUUGACAUCUUAUCGCUAAGAGUCUUUAUGACCCCCUUGUAAUAAUGAUAAAAAAUUUCAUUCUAUAUGAUCCCUAGAUGACCACUCCAAACUAUUUUUAUUACAACAAAAAAUGGCAACUAAGAACUGGGAUAGCUUGAUAAUAUGAAAAAAUAAAAAAUAACUUAAAAUUCUUCCAUUAAAAUGCAUUGGACAAAAAACUACAAACUACAAAUACACAAAAUCAGAUAUUACACAAGUAAAAGCUACAAUUGUUUGAGAGAGAUUAGGGAGAAUUUGGGAAAGAGAAUGAGAUAGGGACCGAGAGAGAAUUAAGGGAGAGAGGGACAGUACGAGAGGGAUAUUGUGGAGAGAGGGGGAAAAUGAGAGGGAGAGGGGCAAGAGACACAUAGGAAGGGAAGGAGGGGCAAAGAGAGAGAACCCUAAAGGCUAAACCCUAUGUGCAAUUGGGGGUUAGAGAAGGAGAGGUGGAAGAGCUUGAGGUGGCUAGGGCAACAGUGGGGCUUCAUGGGGGUGUUUUUUCUCUGUGUGCGGUUUGUAUAGAGCCAAAGCUCUAAACAAUGAAACUGUAGUGCCGAGAGAUGCGGCUUCAAUAUUGAAAAUCUUCUUAACAC
rnacentral:lncRNA from 1 species